AAAAUCCGGUUUCCUAUUAAACACUAAGGUGCGACAUGGUUCUGACCCUUCGGGGUACAGAGAAGUCAUUGAUGCCACGCUUCCAGGAAAAGCUGCUAGCCAUAACUUAUAGAGACCCGUACCGCAAACCGACACAGGUGGACAGGUAGAGAAUACUGAGGCGCUUGAGAGAACUCGGGUGAAGGAACUAGGCAAAAUGGUACCGUAACUUCGGGAGAAGGUACGCCCUUGUUUGUGAUUAGACAUGCUCUAAGAAGCGGAUGAGGGCCGCAGAGACCAGGUGGCUGCGACUGUUUAUUAAAAACACAGCACUCUGCAAAUUCGUAAGAAGACGUAUAGGGUGUGACGCCUGCCCGGUGCCGGAAGGUUAAUUGAUGGGGUCAUCUUCGGAGAAGCUCUUGAUCGAAGCCCCGGUAACGGCGGCCGUAACAAUAACGGUCCUAAGGUAGCGAAAUUCCUUGUCGGGUAAGCUCCGACCUGCACGAAUGGCGUAACGAUGGCCACACUGUCUCCACCCGAGACUCAGUGAAAUUGAAAUCGCUGUGAAGAUGCAGUGUACCCGCGGCUAGACGGAAAGACCCCGUGAACCUUUACUAUAGUUUUGCACUGGACUUUGAUGAUAACUGUGUAGGAUAGGUGGGAGGCUGUGAAGUAUCCACGCUAGUGGGUAUGGAGCCACCCUCGAAAUACCACCCUGUUAUUAUUGAGGUUCUAACUUGGUCCCGUAACCCGGGAUGAGGACAGUGUAUGAUGGGUAGUUUGACUGGGGCGGUCUCCUCCCAAAGAGUAACGGAGGAGCACAAAGGUACCCUCGGUACGGUCGGACAUCGUACCAAGAGUGUAAAGGCAAAAGGGUGCUUGACUGCGAGAGUGACGGCUCGAGCAGGUACGAAAGUAGGUCUUAGUGAUCCGGUGGUUCUGAAUGGAAGGGCCAUCGCUCAACGGAUAAAAGGUACUCCGGGGAUAACAGGCUGAUACCGCCCAAGAGUUCAUAUCGACGGCGGUGUUUGGCACCUCGAUGUCGGCUCAUCACAUCCUGGGGCUGAAGCAGGUCCCAAGGGUAUGGCUGUUCGCCAUUUAAAGUGGUACGCGAGCUGGGUUUAGAACGUCGUGAGACAGUUCGGUCCCUAUCUGCCGUGGGCGUAGGAAAAUUGAGAGGAGCUGCUCCUAGUACGAGAGGACCGGAGUGGACGAACCUCUGGUGUACCGGUUGUCACGCCAGUGGCAUCGCCGGGUAGCUAAGUUCGGACGGGAUAACCGCUGAAAGCAUCUAAGCGGGAAGCCUCCCUCAAGGUGAGUUUUCCCAUGAAGCCCGUUGAAGACUACGACGUUGAUAGGCACGGUGUGGAAGCGCAGUAAUGUGUGAAGCUAACGUGUACUAAUUGGCUGAUUGUCUUGACCAU
rnacentral:rRNA from 1 species